rnacentral:rRNA from 1 species
UAAUACGAAGGUGGCAAGCGUUGUUCGGAUUUACUGGGCGUACAGGGAGCGUAGGCGGUUCGGUAAGCCCUCUGUGAAAUCUCCAGGCUUAACCUGGAACAGUCGGAGGGGACUGUCGGGCUAGAGGACGGGAGAGGAGCGCGGAAUUCCCGGUGUAGCGGUGAAAUGCGUAGAGAUCGGGAGGAAGGCCGGUGGCGAAGGCGGCGCUCUGGAACGUUUCUGACGCUGAGGCUCGAAAGCGUGGGGAGCAAACAGGAUUAGAUACCCUGGUAGUCCACGCCUUAAACUAUGAAUACUAAGUGUCGGCGGGUUACCGCCGGUGCCGCAGCUAACGCAUUAAGUAUUCCGCCUGGGAAGUACGGCCGCAAGGUUGAAACUCAAAUGAAUUG